rnacentral:rRNA from 1 species
CCUGAGUACGACGGAGCACGUGAAAUUCCGUCGGAAUCUGGGAGGACCAUCUCCUAAGGCUAAAUACUCUCUAGUGACCGAUAGUGAACCAGUACCGUGAGGGAAAGGUGAAAAGUACCCCGGAAGGGGAGUGAAAGAGAACUUGAAACCGUGUGCUUACAAGUAGUCAGAGCCCGUUAAUGGGUGAUGGCGUGCCUUUUGUAGAAUGAACCGGCGAGUUACGAUCUGAUGCAAGGUUAAGCAGAAAAUGUGGAGCCGUAGCGAAAGCGAGUCUGAAUAGGGCGAAUGAGUAUUUGGUCGUAGACCCGAAACCAGGUGAUCUACCCUUGGUCAGGUUGAAGUUCAGGUAACACUGAAUGGAGGACCGAACCGACUUACGUUGAAAAGUGAGCGGAUGAACUGAGGGUAGCGGAGAAAUUCCAAUCGAACUUGGAGAUAGCUGGUUCUCUCCGAAAUAGCUUUAGGGCUAGCCUCAAGUGAUGAUUAUUGGAGGUAGAGCACUGUUUGGACGAGGGGCCCCUCUCGGGUUACCGAAUUCAGACAAACUCCGAAUGCCAAAUAAUUUAACUUGGGAGUCAGAAUGUGGGUGAUAAGGUCCAUAUUCGAAAGGGAAACAGCCCAGACCACCAGCUAAGGUCCCAAAAUAUAUGUUAAGUGGAAAAGGAUGUGGCGUUGCCCAGACAACUAGGAUGUUGGCUUAGAAGCAGCCAUCAUUUAAAGAGUGCGUAAUAGCUCACUAGUCGAGUGACACUGCGCCGAAAAUGUACCGGGGCUAAACAUAUUACCGAAGCUGUGGAUUGUCCUUUGGACAAUGGUAGGAGAGCGUUCUAAGGGCGUUGAAGCAUGAUCGCAAGGACAUGUGGAGCGCUUAGAAGUGAGAAUGCCGGUGUGAGUAGCGAAAGACGGGUGAGAAUCCCGUCCACCGAUUGACUAAGGUUUCCAGAGGAAGGCUCGUCCGCUCUGGGUUAGUCGGGUCCUAAGCUGAGGCCGACAGGCGUAGGCGAUGGAUAACAGGUUGAUAUUCCUGUACCACCAUUAUUCGUUUUAAGCGAUGGGGGGACGCAGUAGGAUAGGCGAAGCGUGCUGUUGGAGUGCACGUCCAAGCAGUGAGAUUGAGUGUUAGGCAAAUCCGGCACUCUUAAGAUUGAGCUGUGAUGGGGAGAGGAACUUGUUCCUCGAGUCGUUGAUUUCACACUGCCGAGAAAAGCCUCUAGCUAGAAUAACGGUGC